GUCGUCAGCUCGUGUCGUGAGAUGUUGGGUUAAGUCCCGCAACGAGCGCAACCCUUAAGCUUAGUUGCCAUCAUUAAGUUGGGCACUCUAAGUUGACUGCCGGUGACAAACCGGAGGAAGGUGGGGAUGACGUCAAAUCAUCAUGCCCCUUAUGAUUUGGGCUACACACGUGCUACAAUGGACAAUACAAAGGGCAGCGAAACCGCGAGGUCAAGCAAAUCCCAUAAAGUUGUUCUCAGUUCGGAUUGUAGUCUGCAACUCGACUACAUGAAGCUGGAAUCGCUAGUAAUCGUAGAUCAGCAUGCUACGGUGAAUACGUUCCCGGGUCUUGUACACACCGCCCGUCACACCACGAGAGUUUGUAACACCCGAAGCCGGUGGAGUAACCUUUUAGGAGCUAGCCGUCGAAGGUGGGACAAAUGAUUGGGGUGAAGUCGUAACAAGGUAGCCGUAUCGGAAGGUGCGGCUGGAUCACCUCCUUUCUAAGGA
rnacentral:rRNA from 1 species